GAUGAACGCUGGCGGCGUGCCUAACACAUGCAAGUCGAGCGAACAGAUAAGGAGCUUUCUCCUUUGACGUUAGCGGCGGACGGGUGAGUAACACGUGGGUAACCUACCUAUAAGACUGGGAUAAUUUCGGGAAACCGGAUCUAAUACCGGAUAACAUUUGGAACCGCAUGGUUCUAAAGUGAAAGUUGGUUUUUCUAUCACUUAUAGAUGGACCCGCGCCGUAUUAGCUAGUUGGUAAGGUAACGGCUUACCAAGGCGACGAUACGUAGCCGACCUGAGAGGGUGGUCGGACGGACUGGAACUGAGGCACGGUCGAGACUCCUGCGGGAGGACGCAGUAGGGACUCUUCCGCAAUGGGCGAAAGCCUGACGGAGCAACGCCGCGUGAGUGAUGAAGGAGUUCGGCUCGUAAAACUCUGUUAUUAGGGAAGAAGAAAUGUGUAAGUAACUGUGCACGUCUUGACGGUACCUAAUCAGAAAGCCACGGCUAACUCCGUG
rnacentral:rRNA from 1 species